rnacentral:rRNA from 1 species
CAGCCGCCGCGGUAAUACAGAGGGUGCAAGCGUUAAUCGGAAUUACUGGGCGUAAAGCGCGCGUAGGUGGUUUGUUAAGUUGGAUGUGAAAUCCCCGGGCUCAACCUGGGAACUGCAUCCAAAACUGGCAAGCUAGAGUAUGGUAGAGGGUGGUGGAAUUUCCUGUGUAGCGGUGAAAUGCGUAGAUAUAGGAAGGAACACCAGUGGCGAAGGCGACCACCUGGACUGAUACUGACACUGAGGUGCGAAAGCGUGGGGAGCAAACAGGAUUAGAUACCCCCGUAGUCCCUGUCUCUUAUAA